UACGAAGGGGGCUAGCGUUGCUCGGAAUCACUGGGCGUAAAGGGCGCGUAGGCGGCCGUUUAAGUCGGGGGUGAAAGCCUGUGGCUCAACCACAGAAUUGCCUUCGAUACUGGACGGCUUGAGUAUGGUAGAGGUUGGUGGAACUGCGAGUGUAGAGGUGAAAUCCGUAGAUAUUCGCAAGAACACCGGUGGCGAAGGCGGCCAACUGGACCAUUACUGACGCUGAGGCGCGAAAGCGUGGGGAGCAAACAGG
rnacentral:rRNA from 1 species